CCUACGGGUGGCAGCAGUGAGGAAUAUUGGUCAAUGGACGAGAGUCUGAACCAGCCACGUAGCGUGAAGGAUGACUGCCCUAUGUGUUGUAAACUUCUUUUAUAGGGGAAUAAAAUGUUCCACGUGUGGGAUUUUGUAUGUCCCAUAUGAAUACGGAUCGGCUAACUCCGUGCCCGCAGCCGCGGUAAUCCGGAGGAUCCGAGCGUUAUCCGGAUUUACUGGGUGUAACGGGAGCGUAGGUGGAUUGGUAAGUCAGUUGUGAAAGUUUACGGCUUAACCAUAAAAUUGCAGUUGAAACUGGCAGGCUGGAGUACAGGAGAGGUGGGCGGAAUUCGUGGUGUAGCGGUGAAAUGCUUAGAUAUCACGAAGAACACCGAUUGCGAAGGCAGUUCACUGGACUGCAACUGACACUGAGGCUCGAAAGUGUGGGUAUCAAACAGGAUUAGAUACCCGGGUAGUC
rnacentral:rRNA from 1 species